GUGCUUGCUUUGGCAGCAUGCAUACUAAAAUUGGAAUGAUACAGAGAAGAUUAGCAGGGCCCUGCACAAGGAUGACAUGCCAAUUCGUGAAGUGUUCUGUAUUUUC
rnacentral:snRNA from 1 species